GACGAACGCUGGCGGCGUGCUUAACACAUGCAAGUCGAACGGUAAGGCCCUUCGGGGUACACGAGUGGCGAACGGGUGAGUAACACGUGGGUGAUCUGCCCUGCACUUCGGGAUAAGCCUGGGAAACUGGGUCUAAUACCGGAUAGGACCACUGCCUGCAUGGGUGGUGGUGGAAAGCUUUUGCGGUGUGGGAUGGGCCCGCGGCCUAUCAGCUUGUUGGUGGGGUGAUGGCCUACCAAGGCGACGACGGGUAGCCGGCCUGAGAGGGUGACCGGCCACCCUGGGAUUGAGAUACGGCCCAGACCCCUACGGGAGGCAGCAGGGGGGAAUAUUGCACAAGGGGCGCAAGCCUGAUGCAGCGACGCCGCGUGAGGGAUGACGGCCUUCGGGUUGAAACCCUCUUCCAGCACCGACGAAGCGAAAGUGACGGUAGGUGCAGAAGAAGGACCGGCCAACUACGUGCCAGCCGCCGCGGUAA
rnacentral:rRNA from 1 species